AUCCCAUGAUGAGGACAGGCAGCCACAUACUCCAGUAGUCGUUCCCACGCCUCGAGAAUAGACUCGUCUCUUGUCUGCUGGAAACUUGAGAUUCUCCCAUGUAGGGCA
rfam:Oryza glaberrima chromosome 12 Oglab12_0088_6, whole genome shotgun sequence.